rnacentral:lncRNA from 1 species
GUUAUUUGUUUUCAGGCCUAUCCCUCCUCGAUCCCCAUGGCGAAGCCUAUCCUGCUAUCUAUUUCUCUUUGCCUUUUUGUUCUCUUCCAAGGCUCCUUAGCUCUCGUUUCAUCAUCUCAGCAGCAAAACGAGUGUCGAAUCGACAGGAUCAAUGCCCGCGAACCUGAUAGCCGCAUUCAGAGCGAAGCUGGUACAAUUGAGUCAUGGGAUCCUAACCACGAUCAGUUCCGAUGCGCUGGUGUGGCUGUAACCAGGCACACUAUUCAACCCGAUGGCCUUUUAUUGCCAGCUUACAGCAAUGCUCCUCAACUCGUCUAUAUUGUCCAAGGUGUGUAGAAAUAAGAAACCUCUCCUUCCCAAGCAGCAAAAUCAAGAUGAUGUUUAUGUAUGUUGUGUAAAUACAGGUCAAGGUAUGCUUGGAGCCAUGUUUCCUGGAUGCGCUGAAACAUUCCAAGAAUCUCAAGAAUCCAGUAGGAGCAGUAGACAACAAGAGCAGCACCAAAAGAUUCGCCAUUUCCGACGUGGAGAUGUCAUUGCUUUGCCAGCAGGAAUAGCCCACUGGUGCUACAACGAUGGCAAUGAACCCCUUAUUGCUGUCAGUGUUUUGGACACUGGCAACAACGCUAACCAGCUUGACAGGAACCCCAGAGUAAUAAAGAGACAAAAACNNNUGACUAAUAUCGACUUGAAUUUCUUUGCUUCUCUUGAACUUGUUUCGCAGAAUUUCUACCUAGCCGGUAAUCCAGAAGAUGAGUUCCAGCAACAAUCCAGACGCCCAGGUGAGCGUGGACACGGAGAGUAUUCCCUUGGAGGCAGCAGCGAGAGACGACAGCGAUCUUGCAACAAUGUGUUCUGCGGAAUGGACUCAAGGUUUAUCGCUGAAGCUUUCAACAUUGAUGAGCAAUUGGCUAGAAGGAUUCAAGGUCAGGAUGACGCCAGAGGCAACAUAGUGAGGGUCGAAGGUCGUAUUCAGGUAACGAGGCCACCCAGGACUCAACAAGAGAGAGAGGAGCAACUAGAACGCGAGUAUGAACAAGGCCGUCGACAUUACAAUGGCAUUGAGGAGACUUUUUGCACCAUGAGGAUGAGGGAAAACAUUGCUGAUCCCUCACGCGCUGAUAUCUUCGUCCCUGAAGUUGGUCGUAUGAGCACCGUCAACAGCCACAGUCUCCCUAUCCUUCGGUGGCUCAAACUCAGUGCUUCACAUGCUGUUCUCCGCAAUGUAAGUCAAAUAGCCCAUUCCAUAGCCAAUGGCACAUCAUCAUUUGCGCUGCUUCCAUAAUUCAUAACUAAAGAUGAAUAAUGUUAUUCGCAGAAUGCUGUGAGACUGCCUCACUGGCACAUGAAUUCCCAUAGCAUAUUAUAUGCCAUAAGGGGUCAAGCACGGAUUCAGGUGGUAAAUGAAAAUGGCAACAGUGUCUUCGACGGUAGUGUAAGGCAAGGACAAGUCCUGACACUGCCACAGAACUUUGUGGUGGUGAAUAGGGCAGAGAGUGACAAUUUCGAAUACGUUUCCUUCAAUACCAAUGACAAUGCCGUGGCCUUUGAUGUUGCUGGCCGCACCUCAGCCCUUCGGGGCAUGCCAGUGGAAGUAAUUGCAAACGCAUUCAGAGUUUCGAUAGAGGAAGCCAGGAGGAUCAAGUUCGGGAGGGAGGAGACCACCCUUGGUAGCUCACUGUCUCAGCCAAGGAGGGCAGCUGCUUAAGCAGUAAAAUUACAGUAUGAACAAUGUAAACUAAAGGAACACACACCCUUUUUCGUGUUAAUGUAAGUAUGAUGUUUAGAAAUAAAAGAGACUUCCAUGGUCUCUGUACGCUGUAAGCACGUAAGUAGAGAGGACUUCUACUUGGCAAUAAAAAUGCUUCUUAUUUUAUGAAGUAAUUGGUUCCUCGUCCUUUGGCAGAGAAUAAAUUUGGUGAUAAAUUGACCUGAAACGCCAAAUGUAAUAUCAAAAAACAAGACUAUACAUAUCCUAUUGUCAUAGGAUCAUCAUUAUUCUGAAGGCCCUUAAUUUGCUUCUAAAUUAAUCCAUUUGCAUGUAUAACUAGAGCACUAAACAAGAGCAAGUACUACCACAUUGAAAUACACAGAACAGAAGACGUGUUAUAAAAUAAAUACCAACAUUCAUAUCCGACUGGAAAUUGGAAUUAGAGCACUAUUGCAUUUCUUUUAUCAAUCAAUUAAGCAAUGGAUAUGUUCAAAUAAAUUAGGAAUCAACUUUUAUGCAAAUAGUUCACCAAACAUGAUGUAAGUUUCUAAUAUGAUACUCCUGCAAAAUUUGUUUACAUCAAUACCCCUAUUACAAAAAACAACAGCAUCUCAUUUUAUUCAAACACAAUAGUAGCAAGCUUGAUUUUUCUUUCUUCGGGGCUGCUGUAAGCUUUUCCUUUACAUUCCUGCUAAACCAGCUUAUCUCCUUUGCUCCAAACUAAUCUGAUUCUGUUGAUACGAACAAAAGUAAACCUUGCCCCAAACUGAAGCAGAAAUAAUAGCACAUUUAGAAAAUAAGUGCUCCCAGCAAUUUACCUUGUCAAAAUUAGGUCUUCCGGGCACUAAUAAUAAAAAAAAUAUCACUGAAUUUUAAGUAUCAGGUAUAUGAUCUUUACUUAAGAAUUUUAAAGUAACUGCAUAUUUAAAGUUCGAACUUAAUACCUUAGUUAAACUAAAAAAAACCUUUACCAUCUAAUCUACACAUUCUUUUUGGAUUUUAGCGACUAAUUAUUGUAUUUCAACUAUCGCAAAUAUUUUUAAAAAAAUUAAUAAAUUUAAUAAGCAUCUAUUGCUAAGGGUGUCAUCGAGAUAAAACACAAAAUGAAUGAAUUAUGCCAACUACGAUAAUCGAUAUGUUUUAUUAAAGCUAAAGGGUUAAUUUGGCCCCUAAACUAUUUUUCAAAAUCUAAUUCUUUCCAAAUCAGUUUCUUGGCUAAUUACAUCAAAAUUCGCUGUAAAAAAUGUGUGAGCCUCAAAAUCAUUUUACCAAAAAUUUCAACAUAUCUUUUCUUCCUCCUGUUGUUGUGAUAAUAAGCCUUAGUCUCAAACGAUCAAUCACGACUUGAUUUUCUAAAAGUAGUAGCAUCAGACUCGUUCCGACAACGACAACAGUUUUGGAGAUCAGGGGUUUCAAGAGACAAUUGAUUUUCUUAAAAUAUUUUCAAACUAGUUUAGGGGGUGUUUGGAACUAAUCAGCCAUUAACCAGAGACUUUUAUAUAGUUUGGCCAAAAAUUAAAUCAAGCUGAAUUAACUUUGGAAAAUAAUUCAGAGGCCAAACACUUUUAAAACUGUCGACAAUUACUUCUUAUAUAUCAAUUUCCCAACUUCUCUUGGAGCCGACCCAAAUGGUGGAUAAACUUUGUAUUAAAUUUGUUUUUAUUAUAAGAUUUUACUUUGUUGUAUUUUAAUCAUUUAAUUUAAACUAUAUUUAAGUCACUUUCAUGAACAAAAGAUUGAUACUUCACAAAUACAAUGAAUAGAGAAAAGAACAAAUAAAAGAAACUCUCUAACUUAGAAAGGUGAUUAAAAUCAAAAUUAGGAAACUGAAACAAAUUUGGCAUCAUUAUUCCAACCACUUGUCAAAGAAUAUAAAAUCUAUUGUAUACUUAAUUUUUGUUUUCUUGGUAGAAACAUAUAGGGCAGAACCAAAACAGAAAGAUUAUACUUUAAUAAAAUUUAUGCCCACGUCAUAUCCAAAUUACAAAUCAGAGGUACCACUUGGAGGUUCAAGAUACACUUCAGUCAAUCGCAUUUACAAAAACGGUUCACCUACCUAAUUAACAAGAAAAUUAUUAUUUAUAAAAGUUAGUCGUUUACCGUGACUGUCGUAAUUAUUUUCAAUAUUAAUAAUAAUAGAAAUUGUGUCUAUAUAUAAAAUUAAAUAAUUUUUUUAAUAUUUUAUAAUUAUUUAAAAUAUUUAAAAAUAAAUUAAAUAUGUUUAACUACUUUGUUAGUUUUUUAUCUUUUAAAAUUUUAUUAAUAUAAUAAUAUAAAAUUAUAAAAAAAAAAACUAUAAAAUUAUAUAUAAACUUGAAUUCUACAUGUCAAUAAUUAGUACACAUGUCAAAAUUUAAAAUUAUAUGUGUCAGAAUAUGGUAACAAAUGUAAAAAAAAAAAUUAUUAGACCAUAUACAUAUUAAAAUUUUUAUUUAUUUAUAUGUAUUAAAAUAUUCAUUUUUUUUAUGUAUAAUGUCCAUUAGAUGUAAUAUUCUAUAAUAAUUAAUUUUUUUGUAUUGAAAUAUUCAUUAUCUAUGAACUUAAUAUUCAUUAUGAUUAAUGUCGUGUUUAUUUUGUUUGAUAUAUUAUUUUUCAAUAUUAGUAUUAAUAUUUAUUAUAUGGUACUACAAUAUUCAUUGUCCGUAUAAUAAUGUUCAUCAAUAUUUUUAAAUAUUGAUUUUUUUAUGAAAAUUUUUAUUGUUUUUGUAAUGCAUGUUGAAAAAAAUUAUGGUUGAUAUAAACAUUUAUCAUUUAUAGGCAUAAUACUUAUUAAUUUGUCAUUGAUGAAAAUCAUACUACUAAUUCAUUAAAAUGAAUAUAUAUAAUAUAAAUCAUCCUAACAUAGUCAGUAAAAAAAAUAUCAAGUUAAAAUUAUAAUAUAAAUAAUUAUACUGUAGUGCACGUAUCUUUUCAAUAGAUUAAAUUGAUUAAUAAUGAAUAUUUUAUAUUUAAAUAGUAAAUAUUUAAUGUAUGUUUAAUAAUUAUAAAUUAAUAAAUAUUAAUUAUUUUUAAAAAAAAUUACGUUAUCAUCUAGUAUGAACGUCAACGUGUCAGGCGCUCACGCGAAUAUUUUUACAAACAAAAUGGCGCUUGAGGCAAUAAAGCUAUAUGUAAAAGGCUCUAUCUUAUAAUUUGAUUAAAAUUGAACUCCCAAUGGGUAGCCAUUAAAAUCGCCUACCACAUAUAGAAAGUAACAACCAUAAUUGAACACUUCACCAAGUGAAUCAAUUUUAAAAGGAAAAUUAAAAAUGUGAAGCAUAAAAGAAAACAAGAGAAAAUUAUUCACUAUACUGCACUAUAUAGACUUACAGUGGUAAUCAAUGAGUUGCUUACCCUUCAAACAAAUCUAAUUUAAAAAUAAAUAUAAAAUGUCCAUGAAGACGCAUACAAAGACAAAUUAGCUGUUAGUAUUCUCAUCCUUUUCAUGGCCACUCUUGCAUUCAUCUCUCAAGUUUUGAGACACUUGCCCAACCUGACUUUAUUAGGUGUAAGAUAUUAGGCCAGAUUAACCAUGCAAAUUCAAGAGUAAGCUAAACAGUUCUCGUCCUUAUGGCCUUCCUCUGCUAUAAAUACCAACCUCUACCACCCCAUUUAUCACAAAUUAUAAACAGCAUUCCCUCCUCUGUAGCUACCACCAAGAUGGUUAAGCCAAUCCUGCUGUGUGCUUCUCUUUGCCUUAUUCUUCUCUUCCAUGGCUCCUCUGCUGGCUCUUCAUUUCAGCAGCAAAACGAGUGCCAACUCAAUAGGCUCAAUGCCUUUGAACCUGAUAACCGUAUUCAGAGCGAAGCUGGUACAAUUGAGUCAUGGAAUCCUAACCACGAUCAGUUCCAGUGCGCUGGUGUGGCUGUAACCAGGCACACUAUUGAACCCAGAGGCCUUCUGUUGCCAGCUUACAGCAAUGCUCCCCAACUCGUCUAUAUAGUCCAAGGUAUGUAGAAAUACGAAGUCUUUCUUUCAAAAGCAGCAAAAGAAGAUUACUUGCGUUUGCAUUUGUUUGAUAAGUGCUUACGAUGAUGGACUUAAAUAUGUAAAUUCAGGUAGGGGUAUGUUCGG